rnacentral:lncRNA from 1 species
UCGGAGUCAUGCUUUUUUGUUGUUAUUGUUUGAGUUUGUGCUUUGAGUUUUCUUAAAUGUUAUUUAGUUGUUGUGAAUAUUUGAGUCGGUAUAAUUGAUUCGGAGUCAUGCUUUUUUGUUGUUAUUGUUUGAGUUUGUGCUUUGAGUUUUCUUAAAUGUUAUUUAGUUGUUGUGAAUAUUUGAGUCGGUAUUAUCGAAUGAGCAAGAUGAACGGGGUAAGGUUUCAUUGUUCCUAUCUUCUUUGUUUUGUUUAUGAGCAUGGUGAUUGAGAGAGGAAGAUUGGGUCAUGUGAGAUAGAGUAAUAUUGAGAAAAAUAGCCAUGAGAAAGAGCAUAUUU